AGAGAGAGAUAUUUGGAGUGAUGUGUGAUGGGGCUCUGCCAUCCUGGGAAUGGCUGAACACCUGCCCACCCAUGGGAAGUGAGAAGAAUCCAUAAUUUCUGAUACAGCCGUUUAGCUGGGAAGAGCUGUUUGUGUCUGGGAGAAGGGAAUGAGAAACAUAGACUAAGGUGUAACAUGUAGGACCAAGAGACUGAACAAAAGAACACAAGGUAUCAGACAGCUCAUCUCGGAAUGCCUCUACCUUGUCCUCUCUCCUACAACAGAAGCUGAACAGAGUACUUAAGUCACUAACUACAUCUGUUUAUACAGAACAUUUGUUUGUAUAUAUUGAAUUUUUAAAAAAAAUACAUUUAGAGAUUUGGGUUUUUUUGACUGUCACUGCCUAAAUAAUAAAACUGAUCCUGGAA